CACAAACCCUGGGUUUCCGUGUCUAAUGUUUGACUGUCCCUCUUAUUUGAAAAAUUUAUAAAAAAAAUUAAAAAGACAACUAUGAAAAUACUAAUUAUAAAAAAAAUUUAUAUAAGACGAACAGUCAAACAUUGGACACGGAAACCCAGUGUUUGUCUUUUU
rfam:Oryza glaberrima chromosome 12 Oglab12_0125_1, whole genome shotgun sequence.